rnacentral:ncRNA from 1 species
CGCUUUCACGUGGGGUGCCUUACUUUCAGGCUGAGAUCACACCCAAAGAACCUGGACCAGGUAAUGCUGGUUAGGAAAGUGAAAAAUACUUAAC